GAUGAACGCUGGCGGCGUGCCUAAUACAUGCAAGUCGAGCGAACGGACGAGAAGCUUGCUUCUCUGAUGUUAGCGGCGGACGGGUGAGUAACACGUGGAUAACCUACCUAUAAGACUGGGAUAACUUCGGGAAACCGUAGCUAAUACCGGAUAAUAUUUUGAACCGCAUGGUUCAAAAGUGAAAGACGGUCUUGCUGUCACUUAUAGAUGGAUCCGCGCUGCAUUAGCUAGUUGGUAAGGUAACGGCUUACCAAGGCAACGAUGCAUAGCCGACCUGAGAGGGUGAUCGGCCACACUGGAACUGAGACACGGUCCAGACUCCUACGGGAGGCAGCAGUAGGGAAUCUUCCGCAAUGGGCGAAAGCCUGACGGAGCAACGCCGCGUGAGUGAUGAAGGUCUUCGGAUCGUAAAACUCUGUUAUUAGGGAAGAACAUAUGUGUAAGUAACUGUGCACAUCUUGACGGUACCUAAUCAGAAAACCACGGCUAACUACAU
rnacentral:rRNA from 1 species